ensembl:lncRNA
CACCUGCCAAUGCAGGAGACAUGGUUUCAAUCCCUGAGUCUGGAAGAUCCCCUGGAGAAGAAAAUGGCAACCCAUUCCAGUAUCCUUGCCUGGAAAACCCCAUGGACAGAGGAACCUGGAACCGUCUUGGGACAAGAUCUGAAUAUCCAUCUAAAGUACCAUCUUCCAGCUAGAGCCAAGCAAGACGAUGGACAACUUCUGUCUAAAUCUCCAAACUCUGUCACAGUGCCUUAUGGAGAAACAAAUGAUUUAUUAACAAUAAUAAUAUGAAAAGG